rnacentral:misc_RNA from 1 species
AAGAAGGGACAAAAGAAGAGAGUUACCAGUGCGUGGAUAAAAGUGCGUUCAAAGUGUUCUCGAGGGGUAACCCGUGGCUGGACGUUUGGCAGGCAAGCGUUCUCGGUCUGGUGAAGGAGCCAGGGCCGAGGCGGGUGCAGGCAUGCGGCGGACCUGACUCGGCCGAGGUAGCGUGUUGCAGAAGUGGCCAAUCCAUCAGCCGGGCGUACGAUAAUCGUACGAUGAUGCCGCUCGCGCCGACGCCAAUUGUUCCGGUGCCCUCGAAGCCGAAGAUCGGCUUCAGCAUCGACUCGAUCGUCGGCGGUGGUGGGCAGGGGCGGGAGGACCGCCUGGACCGUUUGGAGCGGGUCGAGAUCGAGAGGGACGAUGGCAGCCCCAUGGACGUGGUCGAGGGCUCCUCCUCCCCCCGCACGCGAAGGGUGACCACGAGAUCGCCGGGCGCCCACUCGGAGGGCUCCGACCGGCCCGUCUCCCGAAGCUCCUCCGUCGAGUCGUAUCCCAACUCGCGGAGGACGCCGUCGCACCCCGGCAGCCACCAUCACCACCACGCCAACCACCACGGCCACCAUCAUCAUCUGUCCACGGCGACGCACCUCGACUUCGGCCGCACCACGGUGCACAGCCACAGCGGAGGAUCGACACCCAACAACAGCCCCAGCCCGCCCCACAGGAUAUCGCACGGGGACUCGCCGGUCGGCGCGCACCCCCAACCCCCGCCAGGGGUCGUCAGGCCCAGCCCCAACUAUCUCGCGCCGCCACCUGGCGCGGCCACCGCGGCCGCUGUCGCCGCCGAACAGUUGAAGUCCCUUUACGGGCUGCCCGGCCACGGCCCGACCGGGCCCCAAACGGGCCAGACCGAGUACCACACGCAACAGCAACUAGCCCUGGCCGCGAAUUUGGCCGCGGCCCAACACUUCCAGGCGGCCAACCUCGCGGUGGCCCUCCAGGCGCAUCAUGGCGCGUCGCCCCACGGGCCACCCCACGGGCCUUAUCCCCAUGGCGGCGCGCCUGGAGGACCCCAUCCACCGCCGCAUCCUCAUCAGCCGCCCAGGGACAGCUAUCCGCUUUAUCCUUGGCUGCUCUCCAGGCACGGAAGGAUCUUCCCUCACAGAUUUCCUGGAGGGCCCGACAUACCGGGCUUUCUCCUCCAGCCAUUCAGGAAGCCGAAGAGAAUAAGGACGGCCUUCAGCCCCAGUCAGUUGCUGAAGCUGGAGCACGCGUUCGAGAAAAAUCACUACGUCGUCGGCGCGGAGAGGAAGCAGCUGGCGCAGGCGCUCUCGUUGACGGAAACGCAGGUUGUAAUUCCGCGGAUUCGAUUCUCGACCAGUCGAGAAGAGGAAUCGUAAGAGGAGAGAAAAUUGCGGGACAUCUUUCUUUCUGGAUUUUCGCGAUUGGGAGUAUUUAAGCAGAGUCGGUGGAAUUCUUCGAUCGGAUCGUGUUUCGAGUUUGUUUUCUAAUCUCGAUGGCGUGUCGAUACCGUUCACUGCCAGAGACACGCAAACAGUGACGUUCUUUUUUUUCCAAGUUCUCGAGCGACCAUCGACGAGGAUCGAGUGUCUUUGAACUUCUGUCACGUAUAAAAUAUUCCAGGUGAUUGCCUUUGGUUACCUUUACGGUCGUUACUUUUUCCGUAAUGGACUUGGUUCAAACGCGUGUCUUGUUUUGUAGCAAUUCUUGUAUUCGAUACUUUGUAUUGGCUUCAGGUAGUAACAACAAGAGCUCGAGUUUUAUCGGAAUUUUUUAUCCAGAUCUUU